GUGCAGCAGGCGAGAAACCUCCGCAAUACACGAAAGUGUGACGGGGCCAUCCCGAGUGCCGUCCGCUGAGGACGGCUUUUCCCCAGUGUACACAGCUGGGGGAAUAAGGAGAGGGCAAGCCUGGUGUCAGCCGCCGCGGUAAUACCAGCUCUCCGAGUGGUGGGGACGCUUAUUGGGCCUAAAGCAUCCGUAGCCGGCUGGGCAAGUCCUCCGUUAAAUCCAACGAUUCAAUCGUUGGGCUGCGGGGGAUACUGUCCAGGCGUUGGGGGCGGGAGAGGCCGACGGUAUUCCCGGGGUAGGGGUGAAAUCCUAUAAUCCCGGGAGGACCACCAGUGGCGAAGGCUGUCGGCUAGAACGCGCCCGACGGUGAGGGGAUGAAAGCUGGGGGAGCGAACCGGAUUAGAUA
rnacentral:rRNA from 1 species